AAAAUACUCCCUCCGAUCCUAAAUUCUUGUCUCAAAUUUGCCCAAAUAUGGAUGUAUCUAUUCCUAAAAGGCGUCUAGAUACAUGUAAUAUUUCGACAACAAUUUAGGAUCGGAGGGAGUAGGAA
rnacentral:pre_miRNA from 1 species